CCUACGGGUGGCAGCAGUGGGGAAUAUUGCACAAUGGGGGAAACCCUGAUGCAGCGACGCCGCGUGAGCGAGGAAGUAUUUCGGUAUGUAAGCUCUAUCAGCAGGGACGAAAAAAGACGGUACCUGACUAAGAAGCCCCGGCUAACUCCGUGCCAGCAGCCUCGGUAAUACGUAGGUGGCAAGCGUUAUCCGGAUUUACUGGGUGGAAAGGGAGCGUAGACGGCAGCGCAAGUCUGAAGUGAACUGCCGGGGCUUAACCCCGGAACUGCUUGGGAAACUGUGCAGCUAGAGUGCAGGAGAGGUAAGUGGAAUUGCUAGGGUAGCGGUGAAAUGCGUAGAUAUUAGGAGGAACACCAGUGGCGAAGGCGGCUUACUGGACUGUAACUGACGUUGAGGCUCGAAAGCGUGGGGAGCAAACAGGAUUAGAUACCCCUGUAGUC
rnacentral:rRNA from 1 species